UGUUCAGGCUUUCAAGUGAGGGCAGUGGC
rnacentral:piRNA from 1 species